UCAGACGAUGCGUCAUGCAUAUCAAUAAGCGGAGGAAAAGAAACUAACAAGGAUUCCCCUAGUAACGGCGAGUGAAGCGGGAAGAGCUCAAAUUUGAAAUCUUAAAGGGUUUCCCUUUACGAAUUGUAGUUUAAAGAAGUGUUUUCUGUUGAGGUUUUGGUAAAAGUUCUUUGGAAUAGGACAUCAUAGAGGGUGAGAAUCCCGUAUUUGACCUUUACUUUCAACUUUGUGAUACACUUUCAAAGAGUCGGAUUGUUUGGGAAUGCAGUCCAAAAGUGGGUGGUAAAUUUCAUCUAAGGCUAAAUAUUGGCGAGAGACCGAUAGCGAACAAGUACCGUGAGGGAAAGAUGAAAAGAACUUUGAAAAGAGAGUUAAACAGUACGUGAAAUUGUCAAAAGGGAAGCGUUUGACACCAGUGUUGUUUUUCUGAAAAUCAAUUAAAGAACUGUUUAUGCUAAGCUGUUUAGACUUUAUCAGCUAUCUGUUUAGUUUUGAGCUUUUCUUUAAUGCACUUUUCAGUUAACAAGUCAACAUCAAUUUCUUUUGCUGUAAAAAAGCUUGAGGAAGGUGGCUUGAGAUUCGUCUUAAGUGUUUAUAGCCUCUUGCCUAUGCAGUCGGAGAGAUUGAGGUCUGCAGCGUAGAUCCUUCGGGGCUAAAUGCAUUUGUGCUAAGUUAUAGCAUUUUAUAGACAACUUGUUGACUAUGAUUUGUCUUGUAGCUUACUCGCUUAUGUUAUUUUACCUACGCUUAGGAUGUUGACACACGCGCGUGCUCG
rnacentral:rRNA from 1 species